UUUUUUUUUUUUUUUUUCUGUUCAAGAAUACAAUCCACCACACUGGAUUUAGCAUUAAUGGGUUUUAAGAAACAAAUGUCACAAUAUGGUUUACAUUUUUAAGAGAUGACUUACUUGACUGUGGAUCCAGCAGAGAAUAUAUGGGCAGAUGGGAGUAGAUUCAGGGAGUCACUUAGAUAUUCAUCGUUGUCAUUAUAGGACUAAAGAAACGUGGCCCAGAUCAGGUGGUAGCAAGGCAGAGAUGAAUAGUACUGAGUUCUACUUAGGAGGUAGAGCUGGAAAAGUUUGCUACGGAUUGGAUUAAAGAAUCAAGGAUGACUCCCACAUUGCUUAUUUUGACAACUGGGUAAUACUUUCUGAAGUGAACACACACAGAGCCAGCAGUUCUUGAGGAGGGGUGGAAAAAGUAAGGGAGGUGAUGAGUUCCACGCUGGACAUGAUGAAAUAGAGAUACCUGUGAAAUUUCCAGGCAGAGAUGUUUCAUGAGCAAUUGCAUUAACAGACCCAAGCUGGAGAUAGGAAGUGAGAGCCAUAGCAAAGGUAAUAACUGGAACCAUGGGGUUGAGUAAGAGUGCCCAGGGACACAGAGAAAUACAGGACAGAAUUGAUUCAAAGGUCUCUGGAGCACCUCAGGAGAGGCGAUGUGAAAGAGGAGAGGGCAAAUGAAGUCCAUUUUGAUAUAAUAAAAUUUAGAGGGGCUCACGAGUGUGCUUCAGAAAGGCUCUUCCCUUUGUCUUUAGGUUUGUUUCACAAUGUCCUAUUCAUUUAUUUAUUCCCAUUCGAUGUAUUUGGCAACAUACAAGACACCAUGUUGGGCCUGUGUUUUGGAGGGCUUUGUUUAGUUAGAUGCUUCACAAAUGCAAAUGAGCCAAGGUCAUUUUUUUCCUGGGUUAAAAGGUAUUGUCCUACUCAAGGACCUCCUUCACUGCCUUCUACCACAGUUUGUACACACUUUUAAGUCAGCAGUUAUCACAAGGUACGGUGAUUGUGUGUCCGUCUAUCUCCCACGGGAG
rnacentral:lncRNA from 1 species